UACGGGGGGAGCAAGCGUUGUUCGGAUUUACUGGGCGUAAAGAGCGGGUAGGCGGCCACCGCAAGUCAGUUGUGAAAUCUCUGGGCUUAACCCAGAAAGGUCAACUGAUACUGCGGGGCUAGAGUGCAGAAGGGGCAACUGGAAUUCUCGGUGUAGCGGUGAAAUGCGUAGAUAUCGAGAGGAACACCUGCGGCGAAGGCGGGUUGCUGGGCUGACACUGACGCUGAACUGCGAAAGCUAGGGGAGCGAACGGG
rnacentral:rRNA from 1 species